rnacentral:rRNA from 1 species
UACAGAGGGUGCAAGCGUUAAUCGGAUUUACUGGGCGUAAAGCGUGCGUAGGCGGUUCAUUAAGUCGGUUGUGAAAUCCCUGGGCUUAACCUGGGAACUGCAGUCGAUACUGGGUGAACUAGAAUGCGGUAGAGGGUGGCGGAACUCCGGGUGUAGCGGUGAAAUGCGUAGAUAUCCGGAAGAACACCGAUGGCGAAGGCAACCACCUGGGCCUGCAUUGACGCUGAGGUACGAAAGCGUGGGGAGCAAACAGG